rnacentral:rRNA from 1 species
AUUCCUGUACCGAUGUGUAGUGCGAUGUGGGGACGGAUCUUAAUAGGUCAUCCGGGUGUUGGAUAUCCCGGUUUAGGCAGAUGUAGGCGACAGGUAGGCAAAUCCGCCUGUCAUAUACCGAGGCUGCCGAUCGAGCGAGCUUGCUCGCGAAGUGAUUGAACGAGGUUCCAGGAAAAGCCACUAAGCUUCAGCUACACACGACCGUACCGCAAACCGACACUGGUGCGCGAGAUGAGUAUUCUAAGGCGCUUGAGAGAACUCGGGAGAAGGAACUCGGCAAAUUGACACCGUAACUUCGGAAGAAGGUGUGCCCUAUUAGUGUGAAGUGAACAACGGAGCAUGAAUGGGUUGCAAAAAAUCGGUGGCUGCGACUGUUUAUUAAAAACACAGCACUCUGCAAACACGAAAGUGGACGUAUAGGGUGUGACGCCUGCCCGGUGCUGGAAGAUUAAAUGAUGGGGUGCAAGCUCUUGAUUGAAGUCCCAGUAAACGGCGGCCGUAACAAUAACGGUCCUAAGGUAGCGAAAUUCCUUGUCGGGUAAGUUCCGACCUGCACGAAUGGCGUAACGAUGGCCACACUGUCUCCUCCCGAGACUCAGCGAAGUUGAAAUGUUUGUGAUGAUGCAAUCUCCCCGCGGAAAGACGGAAAGACCCCAUGAACCUUUACUGUAGCUUUGUAUUGGACUUUGAACAGAUCUGUGUAGGAUAGGUGGGAGGCUUUGAAGCAGGGUCGCUAGAUCUUGUGGAGCCAACGUUGAAAUACCACCCUGGUGUGUUUGAGGUUCUAACCUAGGUCCAUUAUCUGGAUCGGGGACAGUGCAUGGUAGGCAGUUUGACUGGGGCGGUCUCCUCCCAAAGCGUAACGGAGGAGUUCGAAGGUACGCUAGUUACGGUCGGACAUCGUGACGAUAGUGCAAUGGCAUAAGCGUGCUUAACUGCGAGACUGACAAGUCGAGCAGAUGCGAAAGCAGGACAUAGUGAUCCGGUGGUUCUGUAUGGAAGGGCCAUCGCUCAACGGAUAAAAGGUACUCUGGGGAUAACAGGCUGAUACCGCCCAAGAGUUCAUAUCGACGGCGGUGUUUGGCACCUCGAUGUCGGCUCAUCUCAUCCUGGGGCUGUAGCCGGUCCCAAGGGUAUGGCUGUUCGCCAUUUAAAGAGGUACGUGAGCUGGGUUUAAAACGUCGUGAGACAGUUUGGUCCCUAUCUUCCGUGGGCGCUGCAGAUUUGAGGAAGCCUGCUCCUAGUACGAGAGGACCGGAGUGGACGCACCUCUGGUGUAUCGGUUGUCACGCCAGUGGCAUUGCCGAGUAGCUAUGUGCGGAAGAGAUAACCGCUGAAAGCAUCUAAGCGGGAAACUCGUUCCAAGAUGAGAUCUGCCGGGGCCUUGAGCCCCCUAAAGAGUCGUUCAAGACCAGGACGUUGAUAGGUCGGGUGUGGAAGCGCAGUAAUGCGUUAAGCUAACCGAUACUAAUUGCUCGUGCGGCUUGACCCU